rnacentral:lncRNA from 14 species
UUCCCUAUGGGUCCUGCCCAGCUGGGGUGGAAGGGGCUGAGCCCCAUGUGUUGCCUCCCCAGGACUGUCCUGCGGCCAAGAGGGACACCAGGAUCCUGCAGAUUGUGAGUGCUGGUGCCAGCACAUCGAGGGUAUCUGUGAGAGCAUCGUGUGCUGCAGCCCCCCGGCCCUGCUGGACCGCAGGGCUGUGCUGCAGCGUGUGGAGCUGCAGGGCAGCCCCCCCGUGUCCCCUGGCACCCUGAUGCUGCCCUGUCCCCUAACGCCACCCUCCGAGCCCUUGGGGGGCACCCCCCAGCUCUUCACUGCCCCACUGGGCCUCAGCAUCACCUCCACCAUCUCCUGCCUGCACUUUGUGUCUGCAGCUACCUCGGAGGCCUUGGCUGCCCACAGGGGCCUCAUCCUGCCCGGAGAUGAGAUCGUGCAGGUGGGUUGGACACGCGUCAACCUGGCAAAGAAGCUGCUGGAGAACAGGAGCAGAGUGACACUGGUGCUGAAGAAGAUCCCCCUUGACCCGUCCGGCUCCC